rnacentral:rRNA from 1 species
UUUAAUCGAUGAUACGCGAGGAACCUUACCCGGGCUUGAAAUGCAUCUGACGUAGGCAGAGACGUCUAUUCCCUUCGGGGCAGAUGUGUAGGUGCUGCAUGGUUGUCGUCAGCUCGUGCCGUGAGGUGUCGGCUUAAGUGCCAUAACGAGCGCAACCCUCAUCAUUAGUUACCAACAGGUCAAGCUGGGGACUCUAGUGAGACUGCCAUCGUAAGAUGUGAGGAAGGUGGGGAUGACGUCAAAUCAGCACGGCCCUUACGUCCGGGGCGACACACGUGUUACAAUGGGUGGUACAAAGGGCAGCUACCUGGCGACAGGAUGCUAAUCUCGAAAACCACUCUCAGUUCGGAUCGGAGUCUGCAACUCGACUCCGUGAAGCUGGAUUCGCUAGUAAUCGCGCAUCAGCCAUGGCGCGGUGAAUACGUUCCCGGGCCUU